rnacentral:rRNA from 1 species
ACAGAUGAUGCCUAUCAACUGUUUAAAAGAUGGUUCUGCUAUCACUCUUGGGAUGGACCUGCGGUGCAUUAGCUAGUUGGGUAGGGGUAACGGCCUACCAAGGCGAUGAUGCAUAGCCGAGUUGAGAGACUGAUCGGCCACAUUGGGACUGAGACACGGCCCAAACUCCUACGGGAGGCAGCAGUAGGGGAAUCUUCCACAAUGGACGCAAGUCUGAUGGAGCAACGCCGCGUGAGUGAAGAAGGGUUUCGGCUCGUAAAGCUCUGUUGUUGGUGAAGAAGGACAGGGGGUAAUAACUGACCUUUGUUUGACGGUAAUCAAUUAGAAAAGUCACGGGCUAACUACGUGCCAGCAGCCGCGGGUAAAU